rnacentral:rRNA from 1 species
CCUACGGGAGGCAGCAGUGGGGAAUAUUGCACAAUGGGGGAAACCCUGAUGCAGCGACGCCGCGUGAGCGAUGAAGUAUUUCGGUAUGUAAAGCUCUAUCAGCAGGGAAGAAAAUGACGGUACCUGACUAAGAAGCCCCGGCUAACUACGUGCCAGCAGCCGCGGUAAUACGUAGGGGGCAAGCGUUAUCCGGAUUUACUGGGUGUAAAGGGAGCGUAGACGGCAUGGCAAGCCAGAUGUGAAAUACCGGGGCUCAACCCCGGGACUGCAUUUGGAACUGUUAAGCUGGAGUGUCGGAGAGGCAGGCGGAAUUCCUAGGGUAGCGGUGAAAUGCGUAGAUAUUAGGAGGAACACCAGUGGCGAAGGCGGCCUGCUGGACGAUAACUGACGUUGAGGCUCGAAAGCGUGGGGAGCAAACAGGAUUAGAUCCCCUUGUAGU